UACGUAGGGUGCGAGCGUUGUCCGGAAUUACUGGGCGUAAAGUGUGCGCAGGCGGCCGCGCAAGUCGAGUGUGAAAGCCCCGGGCUUAACUUGGGAAUUGCGCUCGAAACUACGUGGCUGGAGUAUGGCAGAGGAAGGUGGAAUUCCACGUGUAGCGGUGAAAUGCGUAGAGAUGUGGAGGAACACCGAUGGCGAAGGCAGCCUUCUGGGCCAAUACUGACGCUCAUGCACGAAAGCGUGGGGAGCAAACAGG
rnacentral:rRNA from 1 species